rnacentral:rRNA from 1 species
GUAGGGAAUAUUGCAAAAUGGGCGCAAGCCCGAUGCAGCAACGCCGCGUGGGCGAUGAAGGCCUUCGGGUCGUAAAGCCCUUUUUGAGGGGAUGAGGAAGGACAGUACCCUCAGAAUAAGCCUCGGCUAACUACGUGCCAGCAGCCGCGGUAAAACGUAGGAGGCGAGCGUUAUCCGGAUUUACUGGGCGUAAAGCGCGUGCAGGCGGAUUGGAGAGUUGGAUGUGAAAGCUCCCGGCUUAACUGGGAGAGGUCGUUCAAUACUUCCAGUCUUGAGUGCAGUAGAGGGAAGUGGAAUUCCGGGUGUAGUGGUGAAAUGCGUAGAUAUCCGGAGGAACACCAGUGGCGAAAGCGGCUUCCUGGACUGUAACUGACGCUCAGACGCGAAAGCUAGGGUAGCAAACGGGAUUAGAUACCCUGGUAGUCC